rnacentral:rRNA from 1 species
UUUAAAUUAAAACAGUAUUAGAGUGGAAAUCUAGAUUAUAUAAUAAAAAAGGGCGUACUAUAACGAAAAUUAAUUAUUUAAUUCCCUAAAAGAAAACUUUAUGAUUAAAAUAAAAUUACGCGAUGAACUGAAACAUCUAAAUAGUCGCAGGAAAAAAAAUCAACCGAGAUUUCGUAAGUAGUGGCGAGCGAACGCGAAAAAGAUUUAACUAAAAAACCUAUUUUUUAAACGGAAUGAAAUUUCCGGCAGUAUAGGGUUAAAGCCCCGUAAAAAAAUAAUUUUAGUUGUUAAGUAAAACAAAACACGAGAAAUUUUGUUUGAAGAAAGGGGGACCACCCUCUAAAUCUAAAUAUUAUUAUAAAAUCGAUAGUGUACAAGUACCGUAAGGGAAUGAUGUAAGAAUUUUGAAAAAUUGAAACCUAAUACUUAUAAGCAGUUGAAGUAAAUAUCAAUUUAUAACAACGUACCUUUUGCAUAAUGGGUCAGCAAGUAAAUAAAAAUAGCAAGCUUAAAAUAGGAGGCAAAAUGAAGGUGAUAAUUUUAUAUUAAGUUAUUUUUAUUUGACCCGAAACCAAGUGAUCUAUCCAUGAGCAGGCUGAAUUUACUUUAAAAGGUAAUGGAGGGCCGAACUCACAUCUGUAGCAAAAGAUGGGGAAGACUUGUGGAUAGGGGUGAAAGGCUAAUCAAACUUGGACAUAGCUGGUUUUCCGCGAAAUCUAUUUAGGUAGAGCGUUUUAAUUUAUUUUUAUGGGGUAAAGCACUAAAUAAGCUAGGGGGGCCCAAAGCUUUACCAAACUUAAUUAAACUCAGAAUACAUAAUUAAAUAUUUAAAACAGACAGACGUUGGGUGCUAAGGUCCAACGUCAAAAGGGAAACAGCCCAGAUUGUAAAUUAAGGUCCCAAAAUAAAGACUAAGUGAAAAAAGGAUGUUCAUUAACCAAAACAACCAAAAGGUGGGCCUAGAAUCAGCCAUCCUUUAAUGAAAGCGUAAAAGCUCAUUGGUCUUUUUUUAAUAAUUAUAUUAAAAAGGUUUUUGAGCACCGAAAAUGUAACGGGGCUAAAGUCUUUUACCGAAAUUACAAAAUAUUUUAAUAUAAUAUCAUUGUUAAAAUAUUGGUAGCGGAACGUUGUAUAUAUUGAUUAAAUGUUAUUGUAAAAUAACAGGCAAAUAUUACAAGUGAGAAUGCUGACAUGAGUAGCGUCAAAAUAAAGUAUUUAAACUUUAUCACCGAAAGCCUAAGGGUUUCUACGAAAGGAUUAACCGCGUAAGAGUUAUACAGUCCCUAAAAAGAGUACAUUUGUAUAAUUUGAUGGGGUUAAAAUAUAAAAAUUUUUUUAACGAAAUAAGUGACGAAAUUUUCAUGUAUUCUUUUUUAUAAUUAAUGUUUACAUUAAAUUUCCAGGAAAUAACUAUUUCAUGUUAAUACUGUACCCUAAACCGACACAGGUGGGCAAGUAGAACAUACUAAGGUGAAUGAGAGAAUUAUGUUGAAGGAACUCGGCAAAUUGACUCUGUAACUUCGGGAGAAAGAGUACCUAUUUUAUUAUAGGUAGCAUAAAAUAGGGGGUAGCGACUGUUUACUAAAAACACAGGACUCUGCAAAAUUAAAAAAAUGAUGUAUAGGGUCUGACACCUGCCCGGUGCCAGCAAGUAAAAAGGCGGGGUACAAGCCCCAAAUAUAAGCUCUGGUAAACGGCGGCCGUAACUAUAACGGUCCUAAGGUAGCGAAAUUCCUUGGCGGGUAAGUUCCGUCCUGCACGAAUGGUGUAACGACUUCCCCACUGUCUCCAACAUAAACUCAGCGAAAUUGGAAUCUCCGUGAAGAUACGGAGUAUCAACAGCUAGACGGAAAGACCCCAUACACCUUUACUGCACUCAUUUAUUGCUCAAAAAUUUUUUAUGUGUAGAGUAGGUAGGAGCUUAUUAGAUUUUAACGCAAGUUAACUAUUUAAGCAUUAAUGAAACACUACCCAAAAAAUAUUUUUGAUCUAAUAUAAUUUUUUAUAGACAGUAUAUGAUUGGUAGUUUCACUGGGGCGGUGGCCUCCUAAAGAGUAACGGAGGCGUACGAAGGCAAAUUCAAAUAAGUUGGAAACUUAUUUUAGAGCGCAAUGGUAUAUAUUUGCUUGACUGUAAGGCAUACAAGCCAAACAGAAAUGAUAUAAAUUUUUAUAUUGUUGGUCAUAGUGAUCCGGUGAUACUUUGUGGAAAGAUCAUCGCUCAACGGAUAAAAGGUACGUUGGGGAUAACAGGCUAAUGACCCUCUAGAGCUCUUAUCGACGGGGUUGUUUGGCACCUCGAUGUCGGCUCAUCACAUCCUGGAGCUGAAAAAGGUUCCAAAGGUUGCCCUGUUCGGGCAUUAAAGUGGUACGUGAGCUGGGUUUAGAACGUCGUGAGACAGUUUGGUCCCUAUCUACUGUUGAUUUUAAGAGAAAAUAAAGAGUCUGUUCUUAGUACGAGAGGACCAGAAUGGAUUGACCUAUUGUGGAUUGGUUGUAUAUUUGUUAUAUGCAUAGCCAAGUAGCUACGUCGAGAAAAAAUAAUUACUGAAAGUAUCUAAGUAAGAAAUUUUUCUUUUGCUUCUCUUAGUUAAGUUAAAGAUCAUAACUUUAAUAGGCUUUUUAUGUAAAAUAAAGUAAUUUAUAAAGUAAAAAAGUACUAAUAAAACAUAUAAUUUAAAAA